UGAAGUGAGCAGGAAAUCCUAAGGGCUGCAUAUAUGAACCAGAACACCUAAGGGAGCUCUGGAUCAGAAAAAAUAUUUAGUGUCUGUCCAUUAACACUUUGGACCUGGUGUGAAGGAAUGGCCCCUUCCUACUUUGUUUUAUGGUUUGUAAAGUGUUUUGUAUUUUCCUUGUUGUUUGUCCACUCCAGGCUCUGCAAGGGUUAAUGUAAGAAUCUCUUAUAGCCUUGUCUGAGGUAAAAAGAUUGUCAGCUGCCGAGUUUUGGAGGGAAAGUUAUAAAGUGUUGUUAUUGGUUGCCAAGGGUUAUCUCCGGGAAGAGACAGAAGGUUCUGGAUGCCUGAGGGAAGAAACUCCCUCAUUGGAUAAUAUUGGAACAUUAGUCAUUUGUUUCAGGCUAUAAAUGGAGUGUGGUUUCAGAGACACAGUCAUUACAGCAGCCGCCAUUGAGGAAAGCCUUAUGGUGAAGAAGAGACACUCCAGCUGUAAAAACUCACUGAUAAAUACACAUGGUGUUGAAGAUGAACUCAUUGGUGAUCUCCAUGUCUUCAGCAGAGGUUGCUGUGAGAAUAUGCAGAUGAGUUGCUAUUUCCCCAAAUCUUGGUCUUCUGGCAGAGAAGGGGAGACGGUUAGAAGCCUGAACUUAAUGAGCUCACAGCCAGCAUCUUCAGCAGAGACUGCUGGGAGAAUAUCAGAUGAGCUGCUGCCUCCUCAGACUGCCUUCUGAGUUGUGAUUGAUUUAAUUAUUCUGAUACUAAAGUCUGUGUGAUGUCAUAGAAAUCAUUGGGCCAACUAGCUAGCUGAUUUUAGGUAAUGGUGAAACCCUAGAAUUCACAUUCCAUGGGCAACAUUUGUUAAAUUAAUCAGUUGAAGAUUAAUGGUCUUCAGAAAGGAAGAGAUUUCCUAAGACUUUUCUAAUGCAGGAUUAUCUCUAUAACACAUGUAAUUAAUAAUGCAAGAACAUCUCUCUAUCACAUUUAAUGGCCACACAGAGAGCAAGAGUAGGAGUUGAAUCUAAGUUUCUCAGGUGCAGCUCCAACAAUUGGAACUG